rnacentral:rRNA from 1 species
AAACUUGAGAGUUUGAUCCUGGCUCAGAACGAACGCUGGCGGCAUGCCUAACACAUGCAAGUCGAACGAACCCUUCGGGGUUAGUGGCGCACGGGUGCGUAACACGUGGGAAUCUGCCCUUUGCUUCGGAAUAACAGUUAGAAAUGACUGCUAAUACCGGAUGAUGUCGCAAGACCAAAGAUUUAUCGGCAAAGGAUGAGCCCGCGUAGGAUUAGCUAGUUGGUGGGGUAAAGGCUCACCAAGGCGACGAUCCUUAGCUGGUCUGAGAGGAUGAUCAGCCACACUGGGACUGAGACACGGCCCAGACUCCUACGGGAGGCAG